rnacentral:rRNA from 1 species
AUUGAACGCUGGCGGCAGGCCUAACACAAGCACGUCGAACGGUAACAGGAAACAGCUUGCUGUUUCGCUGACGAGUGGCGGGCGGGUGAGUAAUGUCUGGUAAACUGCCGGAUGGAGGGGGACAACUACUGGAAACGGUAGCUAAUACCGCAUAACGUCGCAAGACCAAAGAGGGGGACCUUCGGGCCUCUUGCCAUCGGAUGUGCUCAGAUGGGAUUAGCUAGUAGGUGGGGUAAAGGCUCACCUAGGCGACGAUCCCUAGCUGGUCGGAGGGGAUGACCAGCCACACUGGAACUGAGACACGGUCCAGACUCCUACGGGCGGCAGCAGUGGGGAAUAGUGCACAAGGGGCGAAAACCAGAUGCAGCCAUGCCGCGUGUAUGAAGGAGGCCGUCGGGUUGUAAAGUACUUUCAGCGGGGAGGAAGGGAGUAAAGUUGAUACCCAAGAUGAGUGGACGUUACUCGCAGAAUAAGCACCGGCUAACUCUGUGCCAGCCGCCGCAGUAA